GACGAACGCUGGCGGCGUGCUUAACACAUGCAAGUCGAACGGAAAGGCCCUGCUCUUGUGGGGUGCUCGAGUGGCGAACGGGUGAGUAACACGUGAGUAACCUGCCCUUACUUUGGGGUAAUUUCUGGGAAAAGGGGGAACUAACGGCUAAGAACUUCUUCUGCCUGGUGGGGGUUGGGAAGAUUCCGCGGUUGGGGAUAGAUUUGGAGGUUUUCAGGCUGUUGGUGGGGGUGUGGAUUACCAAGGCUUUGACGGGUAGCCGGCCUGAGACGGUGACCGGGCACAAUGGGACUGAGAUACGGCCCAGACUCCUACGGGAGGCAGCAGUGGGGAAUAUUGCACAAUGGGCGGAAGCCUGAUGCAGCAACGCCGCGUGCGGGAUGACGGCCUUCUGGGUGUAAACCGCUUUCGCCUGAGACGAAGCGUGAGUGACGGUAAUGGGUAAAGAAGCACCGGCUAACUACGUG
rnacentral:rRNA from 1 species